UUAAAAAAAAUUGAUUUUCAUGAUAAAAACAAUAGAAUUGCAGCUAAUAACGACCAAUAAAAGGUGGUUACAUUAAUUGCAAAAGUUGUGUAAAAGCACUUCACUUCAGUGCGUGUCGCUGCUUGUAAACAACCAAAAAAAAUGUCCAAAAUCGCAGGUUACAUCUUGCUUGCCUUCUUUAUCAUUCUCGCACUAGCUAGCGCAGAAGAAGAAAAUGGACAAAAUAAGACAGGAGUUAUAUCUAUGCGCUAUUUUACUACAGCCGAUUGUGACGAAAACUGCCAUCACUUGUGCAAAGGAGAUCGUUGUCCCAUUGGAGGAUGCAUAGGGCAAGUGUGUUACUGCGGUAGCUGCAAAUAAGCAUAUGGUAUUAUAUGCACUCUCAGUGAAAUAAAGAUGUAAAUUGAU